AUUGAACGCUGGCGGCAGGCCUAACACAUGCAAGUCGAACGGUAGCACAGAGAGCUUGCUCUCGGGUGACGAGUGGCGGACGGGUGAGUAAUGUCUGGGAAACUGCCCGAUGGAGGGGGAUAACUACUGGAAACGGUAGCUAAUACCGCAUAACGUCGCAAGACCAACGUGGGGGACCUUCGGGCCUCACACCAUCGGAUGUGCCCAGAUGGGAUUAGCUAGUAGGGGGGGUAAUGGCCCACCUAGGCGACGAUCCCUAGCUGGUCUGAGAGGAUGACCAGCCACACUGGAACUGAGACACGGUCCAGACUCCUACGGGAGGCAGCAGUGGGGAAUAUUGCACAAUGGGCGCAAGCCUGAUGCAGCCAUGCCGCGUGUAUGAAGAAGGCCUUCGGGUUGUAAAGUACUUUCAGCGGGGAGGAAGGCGGUGAAGUUAAUAGCUUCACCGAUUGACGUUACCCGCAGAAGAAGCACCGGCUAACUCCGUGCCAGCCGCCGCAGUAA
rnacentral:rRNA from 1 species